UACGAAGGGGGCUAGCGUUGCUCGGAAUCACUGGGCGUAAAGCGCACGUAGGCGGAUCUUUAAGUCAGGGGUGAAAUCCUGGAGCUCAACUCCAGAACUGCCUUUGAUACUGAGGAUCUCGAGUCCGGGAGAGGUGAGUGGAAUUGCGAGUGUAGAGGUGAAAUUCGUAGAUAUUCGCAAGAACACCAGUGGCGAAGGCGGCUCACUGGCCCGGCACUGACGCUGAGGUGCGAAAGCGUGGGGAGCAAACAGG
rnacentral:rRNA from 1 species